rnacentral:rRNA from 1 species
UGGGGAAUAUUGCACAAUGGGCGCAAGCCUGAUGCAGCCAUGCCGCGUGUGUGAAGAAGGCCUUCGGGUUGUAAAGCACUUUCAGCGAGGAGGAAGGUGGUGAACUUAAUACGUUCAUCAAUUGACGUUACUCGCAGAAGAAGCACCGGCUAACUCCGUGCCAGCAGCCGCGGUAAUACGGAGGGUGCAAGCGUUAAUCGGAAUUACUGGGCGUAAAGCGCACGCAGGCGGUUUGUUAAGUCAGAUGUGAAAUCCCCGGGCUCAACCUGGGAACUGCAUUUGAAACUGGCAAGCUAGAGUCUCGUAAGAGGGGGGUAGAAUUCCAGGUGUAGCGGUGAAAUGCGUAGAGAUCUGGAGGAAUACCGGUGGCGAAGGCGGCCCCCUGGACGAAGACUGACGCUCAGGUGCGAAAGCGUGGGGACAAAACAGGAUUAGAUACCCUGGUAGUCCACGCUGUAAACGAUGUCGAUUUUGGAGGUUGUGCCCCUUGAGGCGUGGNUUCCGGAGCUAACGCGUUAAAUCGACCGCC